rnacentral:rRNA from 1 species
UACGAAGGGUGCAAGCGUUACUCGGAAUUACUGGGCGUAAAGCGUGCGUAGGCGGUUUGUUAAGUCCGCUGUGAAAGCCCUGGGCUCAACCUGGGAAUUGCAGUGGAUACUGGCAAGCUAGAGUGCGGUAGAGGAUGGUGGAAUUCCCGGUGUAGCGGUGAAAUGCGUAGAGAUCGGGAGGAACACCCGUGGCGAAGGCGGCCAUCUGGACCAGCACUGACGCUGAACCACGAAAGCCAGGGUAGCGAACGGG